rnacentral:rRNA from 1 species
CAGUCGAACGAACUUCCGUUAAUUGAUUAUGACGUACUUGUACUGAUUGAGAUUUUAACACGAAGUGAGUGGCGAACGGGUGAGUAACACGUGGGUAACCUGCCCAGAAGUAGGGGAUAACACCUGGAAACAGAUGCUAAUACCGUAUAACAGAGAAAACCGCAUGGUUUUCUUUUAAAAGAUGGCUCUGCUAUCACUUCUGGAUGGACCCGCGGCGUAUUAGCUAGUUGGUGAGGUAAAGGCUCACCAAGGCAGUGAUACGUAGCCGACCUGAGAGGGUAAUCGGCCACAUUGGGACUGAGACACGGCCCAGACUCCUACGGGAGGCAGCAGUAGGGAAUCUUCCACAAUGGACGCAAGUCUGAUGGAGCAACGCCGCGUGAGUGAAGAAGGGUUUCGGCUCGUAAAGCUCUGUUGUUAAAGAAGAACGUGGGUAAGAGUAACUGUUUACCCAGUGACGGUAUUUAACCAGAAAGCCACGGCUAACUACGUGCCAGCAGCCGCGGUAAUACGUAGGUGGCAAGCGUUAUCCGGAUUUAUUGGGCGUAAAGCGAGCGCAG